rnacentral:snoRNA from 1 species
AGCAUUUGUGGGGUUUUUCUUUUUUUUGAGCUAGUGGACAAAGACAAGGCAGGUGCUAAACAAAUACUCUUUUGUAACCCAGGAUUUAGUGUUCUGUGUGUGUUUUGGUACAUACAAGAAGGAAUAUG